GACGAGCGCUGGCGGCGUGCUUAACACAUGCAAGUCGAACGGAAAGGCCCUGCUUUUGUGGGGUGCUCGAGUGGCGAACGGGUGAGUAACACGUGAGUAACCUGCCCUUGACUUUGGGAUAACUUCAGGAAACUGGGGCUAAUACCGGAUAGGAGCUCCUGCUGCAUGGUGGGGGUUGGAAAGUUUCGGCGGCUGGGGAUGGACUCGCGGCUUAUCAGCUUGUUGGUGGGGUAGUGGCUUACCAAGGCUUUGACGGGUAGCCGGCCUGAGAGGGUGACCGGCCACAUUGGGACUGAGAUACGGCCCAGACUCCUACGGGAGGCAGCAGUGGGGAAUAUUGCACAAUGGGCGGAAGCCUGAUGCAGCAACGCCGCGUGCGGGAUGACGGCCUUCGGGUUGUAAACCGCUUUCGCCUGUGACGAAGCGUGAGUGACGGUAAUGGGUAAAGAAGCACCGGCUAACUACGUG
rnacentral:rRNA from 1 species